rnacentral:rRNA from 1 species
AUUGAACGCUGGCGGCAUGCCUUACACAUGCAAGUCGAACGGCAGCACGGGGCAACCUGGUGGCGAGUGGCGAACGGGUGAGUAAUGCAUCGGAACGUACCUUUCGGUGGGGGAUAACGUAGCGAAAGUUACGCUAAUACCGCAUAUUCUGUGAGCAGGAAAGCAGGGGAUCGCAAGACCUUGCGCUGAUUGAGCGGCCGAUGUCAGAUUAGCUAGUUGGUGAGGUAAAGGCUCACCAAGGCGACGAUCUGUAGCGGGUCUGAGAGGAUGAUCCGCCACACUGGAACUGAGACACGGUCCAGACGCCUACGGGAGGCAGCAGUGGGGAAUUUUGGACAAUGGGGGCAACCCUGAUCCAGCCAUGCCGCGUGAGUGAAGAAGGCCUUCGGGUUGUAAAGCUCUUUCGGCCGGGAAGAAAUCGCACGGGCUAAUACCCUGUGUGGAUGACGGUACCGGAAUAAGAAGCACCGGCUAACUACGUGCCAGCAGCCGCAGUAAGAC